rnacentral:rRNA from 1 species
GAUGAACGCUGGCGGCGUGCCUAAUACAUGCAAGUCGAGCGAACAGAUGAGGAGCUUGCUCCUCUGACGUUAGCGGCGGACGGGUGAGUAACACGUGGAUAACCUACCUAUAAGACUGGGAUAACUUCGGGAAACCGGAGCUAAUACCGGAUAAUAUAUUGAACCGCAUGGUUCAAUAGUGAAAGACGGUUUUGCUGUCACUUAUAGAUGGAUCCGCGCCGCAUUAGCUAGUUGGUAAGGUAACGGCUUACCAAGGCAACGAUGCGUAGCCGACCUGAGAGGGUGAUCGGCCACACUGGAACUGAGACACGGUCCAGACUCCUACGGGAGGCAGCAGUAGGGAAUCUUCCGCAAUGGGCGAAAGCCUGACGGAGCAACGCCGCGUGAGUGGUGAAGGUCUUCGGAUCGUAAAACUCUGUUAUUAGGGAAGAACAAAUGUGUAAGUAACUAUGCACGUCUUGACGGUACCUAAUCAGAAAGCCACGGCUAACUACGCG